ACGGGAGGCAGCAGUGGGGAAUAUUGGGCAAUGGGCGCAAGCCUGACCCAGCAACGCCGCGUGAAGGAAGAAGGUCUUCGGAUUGUAAACUUCUUUAAUUAGGGAAGAAUCAAUGACUUAACCUAAAGAAUAAGUCACGGCUAACUACGUGCCAGCAGCCGCGGUAAUACGUAGGUGACAAGCGUUAUCCGGAUUUACUGGGUGUAAAGGGCGCGUAGGCGGUUUUGCAAGUCAGAUGUGAAAUUCCCGGGCUUAACUUGGGCGCUGCAUCUGAAACUGCAGAACUUGAGUACUGGAGAGGAUAGUGGAAUUCCUAGUGUAGUGGUAAAAUGCGUAGAUAUUAGGAGGAACACCAGUGGCGAAGGCGGCUUACUGGACGGUAACUGACGUUGAGGCUCGAAAGCGUGGGGAGCAAACAGGAUUAGAUACCCUGGUA
rnacentral:rRNA from 1 species